UACAGAGGGUGCAAGCGUUGUUCGGAAUUACUGGCGUAAAGCGCGUGUAGGUGGCGAUGUAAGUCGGGUGUGAAAUCCCUCGGCUCAACCGAGGAAGUGCACUCGAUACUGUGUCGCUUGAGUGUUGGAGGGGAUGGCGGAAUUCCCGGUGUAGAGGUGAAAUGCGUAGAUAUCGGGAGGAACAUCAGUGGCGAAGGCGGCCUCUGGUCCAGUACUGACGACUCAAGAUGC
rnacentral:rRNA from 1 species